GUGUGGGUUGUCCUGGGGAGCUACUGAGGUUAGGGAAGUGUCUCUGGGGCGAGUAAAGGAAUCUCUUCUGAAAACAUCUCAGGUGGCGAAGUUGUACUUUCCUUAUUUUUAACUCCUUCAAAAGUGAAAGUAAAGUGGAAUUCUGCAUAUUCCGCUUUAGGAUGGCAGUUUAAGAAUUAUUAGUAGCUGGGUGAGUGCGCACAGUCGCAGCCGCUGACGUACUUGAUAGUUUCAGGCCAGCAUGGGAAAGUAUGCACCAACUGUAAAUAGGAUUCACUGCUGGUCUGCUUCAGAGGAUUUCCUACUCUCGAAGUUCAUUCUAGAGGUUGACCAGAAUCAAAGAAAACUCCCGGGCCCCUGCUCCAUCCUUGCUUCUCUGCAGUUCAUUCUCCUAGAGGUUGACCAGAAUCAAAGAAAACUCCCAUGCAGGUGGGAUAGAGCCAGAGUUGAGUGAAGAGAGAGUCAUUUUUCCCCUCUGAAAAGCAAGAAAUUCGCCCAAUGGCCAGUUUAUGAACCCUGACCUUAAGAAGCCUGCAAAAAAUGUAUCACACACCCUGCCAGCUGCUAUUUUAUGUGAGUUUACCAGUUUGGGACAGACUUCAAUACCAAAAUAAAAACCAUCAGUCACCAAACCUCUGAGAAAUA
rnacentral:lncRNA from 1 species